rnacentral:misc_RNA from 1 species
CCUGGCCUUGGGCCACUCCCGCACGGCGCUCGCGCCCUCGGGCGUGCUUAGCCCUCGACCCUCCCCUUGACUAUGCGUACCUUUGUUGUUUCCUCGGCAGGUCUCCUGCCGCCAGGAGCCCCCUAUAACCCCUUUGCAAUGGCCUCAAAACUGAAACAAACCACAAUCAUUUA